GGUAUACCACCGACUUUGCCUCCCCUUCUUCUUCCUCCUGCACAAAUAUAACAAACCAAACUCUUACAAAUAUGCAACCUCCUCUGCUCAACCAGUGAAGAACACAACAAUCUCUACACAUCUUCAAAUAUGGUUACAAUUCAACAACAAUCUCUACAAAAACAUAACUCAACUCUACAAACCACCUUCGAACAAAACUACAAAAACAUAAGCAACAUCCUCUCCUCAACCAGAUCAAGAACACCCCGUAAGGGAAUACAACUCCAUGCUCAAAUAAUCAAACUAGGGCUCCAAAUAAUCCCACUCAUUUCCCACUAUUUAAUCAGCUUCUACUCCAAAACCAAGCUCCCGAUCGACUCACAACAAGUUCUCGAAGAAACCCAUAUCAAAUCAUCAACCACUUGGAGUUCUGUUAUCUCAUCUUUCGCCCAGAACGAACUCCCGGUACUUGCGUUACAAUAUUUCAAAAAAAACUUUUGGUGUUCGUCCUGAUGAUUAUAUCUUUCCCAGUGCUACUAAAGCGCAUCAGUUGCGAUUCUUUCAAGUUAUGAUGUGGGCUGGUGUGUGCAUUGUUAUGCGGUGAAGAUUGCUUACGAUGGUGAUGUGUUUGUUGCGAGUUAGAUGGUGGAUGUGUAUGCUAAAUGUGGGAGGAAUGGAGAUGCACGUAAGGUGUUUGAUGAAAUGCCUGUGAGGAAUGUGGUGUCUUCGAGUGGGAUGAUUUAUGGACAAAGAGGAAGAAGAACAGUAAAAGUGGCUGGAUGGAGCACGGCGUAUUGCGUCCCGCAGAUAGGAGUCAUAUGGGACGACAUAUAUCUCUUUUGAAAUUCAUAAGGUUCGGUCAACUAAGCUCUCUGUAAGUUUUUUCUUUGGUGUUUUUGGCCAUGGAUAUCUUUUGCUCUGAGUUUUGAAUGAUUACAAGGAUCAUUUGCUAUAAAUUUUUUUACAAUCGAUGCAAGAUUGAUAGAUUUGAAGUUUGAAUAUAAGAAUUUUUUAAGCCUAAA